CUUGCUUAAUGCCAAAGUUGGAGUUCUGUGCUGUCAUGUGCUGUAUUAAAAGUGAUAAUUUCCAACUAUUUCUAUGUCAUCCUUUUUAGGACCUUACUCAUGAACACUGGUGCUGUGUUAAACUUCAAACUUAAGAAAAAGGAGUCACAAGGACAAUUUGGAGAUGAACCUCGUGGACCAACUACAGGUGACAACAUCAGAGAGUUCCUCCAGAGUCUACGCUACUUCCGGAUUUUCAUUGCCUUAUGGAACAUAUUCAUGAUGUUUUGCAUGAUUCUAUUGUUUGGAUAGUGAUCAACAUCGUUUUUGGAUUGGGGGCCCCUGCACAAAAAAUAACUUUUUUGAGUUGAGAUUCAUGUCGGAUCCUGUGACCAUUAUGUGCAGUAUCGCAAUAUUUUUGCGCUAGUUAGUUGUACCUGCAUCAAAACUACAGUAUUUUAUCUUCAUAGCUUUUAGAAAUAGGGAGCCAAUUAUUUUUUCAGCCCAUUUAUUUCCAUGACUGACCUAAACUGCUUCUCAUGGUUCUCUCGUCACACUGCAGCGGAUAUAUGGUUAGCAAUAUGUUUUGAACAUCGAAUCGCAAUACAUAUUGUAUCGGUAUCUAAGUAUCGUGAUAAUAUCGUAUCAUGAGGUCCCUGGCAAUUCUCAGCCCUAUUGCUGACCUGUUAUCUAUAGUCCUCAUUUUCUUCUAAAACUUGUGAACGGAAUGAGAACCAUUUGACAUGUUUGAUGUUUGUCUUACUAAGGCCUUCUGAUGUUAAGAGCAUUCAGACUUAAUUUUAUCAUUGCUUUGUUGCAUACUUUUGUCUAUGAUCUAGUUUUGUAUAAUAAAACUUUACUCUAAAAUGCA